UGCUGCACGUGCACUUCACGACUUCGCUUCACUGCUUCAGCCAGCACUUGACUUGUCUGGUUUUCUGAAGGCUAAGAGGUGAAGGAGGGUUUCGUCCAGUCUCACUGGCAGUCUUUUGCUGUCCAUGUACUGGUGUAGUAGUAGUUCUGGUGCCCAGUGGAGCGCCCUCCUGUAUUAUCUGUGACGGAAGAAUUUUAAAAGUGACUUUAAAAUGUCCUAUCUAUAUCUAUAGACCCUUUGUACUGUAUAAUAGUUCCAGUCUUCUCCCCGAGCUUCUUGUACCCUAACUAAAGUGUACCAGCUGCUCAGUAGUAAUAAUUCAAA